rnacentral:rRNA from 2 species
GGACUGCCUUUUGCAUAAUGAGCCUGCGAGUUGUGGUGUCUGGCAAGGUUAAGCAAACGCGAAGCCGUAGCGAAAGCGAGUCUGAAUAGGGCGCUUAGUCAGAUGCUGCAGACCCGAAACGAAGUGAUCUAUCCAUGAGCAAGUUGAAGCUAGUGUAAGAACUAGUGGAGGACUGAACCCAUAGGCGUUGAAAAGCCCCGGGAUGACUUGUGGAUAGGGGUGAAAGGCCAAUCAAACUUCGUGAUAGCUGGUUCUCUCCGAAAUAUAUUUAGGUAUAGCGUUGUGUCGUAAUAUAAGGGGGUAGAGCACUGAAUGGGCUAGGGCAUACACCAAUGUACCAAACCCUAUCAAACUCCGAAUACCUUAUAUGUAAUCACAGCAGUCAGGCGGCGAGUGAUAAAAUCCGUCGUCAAGAGGGAAACAACCCAGACUACCAGCUAAGGUCCCUAAAUCUUACUUAAGUGGAAAACGAUGUGAAGUUACUUAAACAACCAGGAGGUUGGCUUAGAAGCAGCCAUCCUUUAAAGAAAGCGUAAUAGCUCACUGGUCUAGUGAUUUUGCGCGGAAAAUAUAACGGGGCUAAAGUAAGUACCGAAGCUGUAGACUUGCGCACAACUUAGAUUAUUUAAGUUUAGAAUAUGAGAAACUAAGUUAUAUGUUUAGUUAUAUUUUUACUGAUUUUUAUAGAGUAAAGAUAGAAAUAAAACUUAGUAAAAUCAGUAAAAAUAUUCUUAGACUAAAGUUAAGUAGUUUAAGUUGUGUGCAAGUGGUAGGAGAGCGUUCUAUUUGCGUCGAAGGUAUACCGGUAAGGAGUGCUGGAGCGAAUAGAAGUGAGCAUGCAGGCAUGAGUAGCGAUAAUUAAUGUGAGAAUCAUUAACGCCGUAAACCCAAGGUUUCCUACGCGAUGCUCGUCAUCGUAGGGUUAGUCGGGUCCUAAGUCGAGUCCGAAAGGGGUAGACGAUGGCAAAUUGGUUAAUAUUCCAAUACCAACAUUAGUGUGCGAUGGAAGGACGCUUAGGGCUAAGGGGGCUAGCGGAUGGAAGUGCUAGUCUAAGGUCGUAGGAGGUUAUACAGGCAAAUCCGUAUAACAAUACUCCGAGAACUGAAAGGCUUUUUGAAGUCUUCGGAUGGAUAGAAGAACCCCUGAUGCCGUCGAGCCAAGAAAAGUUUCUAAGUUUAGCUAAUGUUGCCCGUACCGUAAACCGACACAGGUGGGUGGGAUGAGUAUUCUAAGGCGCGUGGAAGAACUCUCUUUAAGGAACUCUGCAAAAUAGCACCGUAUCUUCGGUAUAAGGUGUGGUUAGCUUUGUAUUAGGAUUUACUCCGAAAGCAAGGAAACUUACAACAAAGAGUCCCUCCCGACUGUUUACCAAAAACACAGCACUCUGCUAACUCGUAAGAGGAUGUAUAGGGUGUGACGCCUGCCCGGUGCUCGAAGGUUAAUUGAUGGGGUUAGCAUUAGCGAAGCUCUUGAUCGAAGCCCGAGUAAACGGCGGCCGUAACUAUAACGGUCCUAAGGUAGCGAAAUUCCUUGUCGGUUAAAUACCGACCUGCAUGAAUGGCGUAACGAGAUGGGAGCUGUCUCAAAGAGGGAUCCAGUGAAAUUGUAGUGGAGGUGAAAAUUCCUCCUACCCGCGGCAAGACGGAAAGACCCCGUGGACCUUUACUACAGCUUGACACUGCUACUUGGAUAAGAAUGUGCAGGAUAGGUGGGAGGCUUUGAGUAUAUGACGCCAGUUGUAUAUGAGCCAUUGUUGAGAUACCACUCUUUCUUAUUUGGGUAGCUAACCAGCUUGAGUUAUCCUCAAGUGGGACAAUGUCUGGUGGGUAGUUUGACUGGGGCGGUCGCCUCCCAAAUAAUAACGGAGGCUUACAAAGGUUGGCUCAGAACGGUUGGAAAUCGUUCGUAGAGUAUAAAGGUAUAAGCCAGCUUAACUGCAAGACAUACAAGUCAAGCAGAGACGAAAGUCGGUCUUAGUGAUCCGGUGGUUCUGUGUGGAAGGGCCAUCGCUCAAAGGAUAAAAGGUACCCCGGGGAUAACAGGCUGAUCUCCCCCAAGAGCUCACAUCGACGGGGAGGUUUGGCACCUCGAUGUCGGCUCAUCGCAUCCUGGGGCUGGAGCAGGUCCCAAGGGUAUGGCUGUUCGCCAUUUAAAGCGGUACGCGAGCUGGGUUCAGAACGUCGUGAGACAGUUCGGUCCCUAUCUGCCGUGGGCGUAAGAAGAUUGAAGAGAUUUGACCCUAGUACGAGAGGACCGGGUUGAACAAACCACUGGUGUAGCUGUUGUUCUGCCAAGAGCAUCGCAGCGUAGCUAAGUUUGGAAAGGAUAAACGCUGAAAGCAUCUAAGCGUGAAGCCAACUCUAAGAUGAAUCUUCUCUAAGCUCUCUAGAAGACUACUAGUUUGAUAGGCUGGGUGUGUAAUGGAUGAAAGUCCUUUAGCUGACCAGUACUAAUAGAGCGUUUGGCUUAUCUUUAAUAAAGCAU